CCCCGCGGUCCUUAAUUGGGACGUCACGAGCGGGGUGUUACUAUACAGCGUGAUUGAGUUAUCCGCACUAUAUAUUGCAGUCAGCUGGUGCAGGAGCAGUAGUAGGUGUUGCUUUUAAGUCAGAUUCGGAGCCUGUGACGCGGCCCACGGGAGAGUUUCGCUUCCGGUUUAAGUGGCUGCGCAGGCGCAGACGUGGCACGAGAGGCCUCAGAGGCUGACCGCUGUUCCAGCGCCACCCCCGGAUAGUUUUUCCUAGGAUUGGCGGCUCGGGGUUCUCGAUCAGGGACCAGAGAGCCGAAACCUCGAGGGCGGCUUCCGCGGGACCUAGAGACCCUCAUCCCGGGGGAGUCGAAAAGGACGAGGAUCCGACCAGAUUUCUACCAUUGCGCAUCGCCCAUGGCGGCCCUCGGCCCCUGCAGCCAGAAUGUCACUGAAUAUGUUGUCCGAGUUCCCAAAAAUACCACCAAAAAAUAUAAUAUCAUGGCCUUCAAUGCAGCUGAUAAAGUCAAUCUUGCUACUUGGAAUCAGGCCCGGCUGGAACGUGACCUGAGUAACAAGAAGAUUUACCAAGAGGAGGAGAUGCCAGAAUCAGGCGCUGGCAGUGAGUUCAACCGCAAGCUCCGGGAGGAGGCCCGGAGGAAGAAGUACGGCAUCGUCCUGAAGGAGUUCCGGCCGGAGGACCAGCCCUGGCUGCUCCGCAUCAAUGGCAAGGCAGGCCGGAAGUUCAAGGGCAUAAAGAAGGGAGGCGUGACAGAAAACACAUCCUACUACAUCUUUACCCAGUGCCCCGAUGGGGCCUUUGAGGCCUUCCCCGUGCACAACUGGUACAACUUCACACCGCUGGCCCGGCACCGCACUCUCACAGCCGAGGAGGCAGAGGAAGAGUGGGAGAGGAGAAACAAAGUCCUGAACCACUUCAGCAUCAUGCAGCAGCGGCGACUCAAGGACCAGGACCAGGAUGAGGAAGAUGAAGACAAGGAGAAGCGUGGCCGCAAGAAGGCCAGCGAGCUGCGCAUCCAUGACCUGGAGGAUGACCUGGAGAUGUCUUCUGACGACAGUGAGGCCAGCGGCGAGGAGGGUGGCAGAGCCCCCAAGGCCAAGAAGAAGGCACCGCCCAGCAAGGGAGGCAGGAAGAAGAAGAAGAAGAAGGGGUCAGAUGACGAGGCCUUUGAAGAUAGUGAUGACGGGGACUUUGAGGGCCAGGAGGUGGACUACAUGUCCGACGGCUCCAGCAGCUCCCAGGAUGAGCUAGAGGGCAAGCCCAAGGUCACGCAGCAGGAGGAGGGCCCCAAGGGCGUGGAUGAGCAGAGCGAGAGCAGCGAGGAAAGCGAGGAGGAGAAGCCACCCGAGGAGGACAAAGAGGAGGAGGAGGAGAAGAAGGUGCCCACGCCACAGGAGAAGAAGCGGAGGAAAGACAGCAGUGAGGAGUCAGACAGCUCGGAGGAGAGUGACAUUGACAGUGAGGCCUCGUCGGCACUCUUCAUGGCAGUAAGAAGAAGAAGACACCCCCCAAGAGGGAGCGGAAGCCAUCGGGAGGCAGCUCUCGGGGCAACAGCCGGCCAGGCACACCCAGCACGGAGCCUGGCAGCACUUCUUCCACCCUGCGGGCAGCUGCCAACAAACUGGAGCAGGGGAAGCGGACCAGUGAGACUCCUGCUGCCAAGCGGCUGCGGCUAGACACUGGGUCCCAAAGCUUGUCAGGGAAGUCCACCCCUCAGCCACAGUCUGGGAAGUCGACCCCCAGCAGCGGUGACGUGCAGGUGACCGAGGAUGCAGUGCGCCGCUACCUGACACGGAAGCCCAUGACCACCAAGGACCUGCUGAAAAAGUUCCAGACCAAGAAGACAGGGCUGAGCAGUGAGCAGACAGUGAAUGUGCUGGCUCAGAUCCUCAAGCGCCUGAACCCUGAGCGCAAGAUGAUCAAUGACAAGAUGCACUUCUCCCUCAAGGAGUGACGCUCUGCCCCUGGCCACCCUCCUGCCCAAUAAACAGGCUCUGUUCUCCAGAA